GGUUAAGCGACUAAGCGUACACGGUGGAUGCCCUGGCAGUCAGAGGCGAUGAAGGACGUGCUAAUCUGCGAUAAGCGUCGGUAAGGUGAUAUGAACCGUUAUAACCGGCGAUUUCCGAAUGGGGAAACCCAGUGUGUUUCGACACACUAUCAUUAACUGAAUCCAUAGGUUAAUGAGGCGAACCGGGGGAACUGAAACAUCUAAGUACCCCGAGGAAAAGAAAUCAACCGAGAUUCCCCCAGUAGCGGCGAGCGAACGGGGAGCAGCCCAGAGCCUGAAUCAGUGUGUGUGUUAGUGGAAGCGUCUGGAAAGGCGCGCGAUACAGGGUGACAGCCCCGUACACAAAAAUGCACAUGCUGUGAGCUCGAUGAGUAGGGCGGGACACGUGGUAUCCUGUCUGAAUAUGGGGGGACCAUCCUCCAAGGCUAAAUACUCCUGACUGACCGAUAGUGAACCAGUACCGUGAGGGAAAGGCGAAAAGAACCCCGGCGAGGGGAGUGAAAAAGAACCUGAAACCGUGUACGUACAAGCAGUGGGAGCACGCUUAGGCGUGUGACUGCGUACCUUUUGUAUAAUGGGUCAGCGACUUAUAUUCUGUAGCAAGGUUAACCGAAUAGGGGAGCCGAAGGGAAACCGAGUCUUAACUGGGCGUUAAGUUGCAGGGUAUAGACCCGAAACCCGGUGAUCUAGCCAUGGGCAGGUUGAAGGUUGGGUAACACUAACUGGAGGACCGAACCGACUAAUGUUGAAAAAUUAGCGGAUGACUUGUGGCUGGGGGUGAAAGGCCAAUCAAACCGGGAGAUAGCUGGUUCUCCCCGAAAGCUAUUUAGGUAGCGCCUCGUGAAUUCAUCUCCGGGGGUAGAGCACUGUUUCGGCAAGGGGGUCAUCCCGACUUACCAACCCGAUGCAAACUGCGAAUACCGGAGAAUGUUAUCACGGGAGACACACGGCG
rnacentral:rRNA from 1 species